UGCAGUGCUGGUACUCAAACCUCAUUAGCACUUCCUUCCCACCCUGUGAAAGCAGAGGGCCCCCAGAACAGCAGCUUCAGCCUUGACCAUCCCUGACACAUUAACAAACUAACCAUCAGAAAUCCUUGACUCUGAGUCUGCUCUUUAGGAACUUAGAGAAGCAGGAUAGGCCCAUUGCUGACCAGAAGCUGCCAGUUCCUGAGCCCCACUCCUGGAAGAGCCAGCUUGAGCCCCACAUCCUCCAAAAAGCACCCAUCCCCUGCCCAGAACUCACUGUGCCUUUCCCAUGACCACUUAUUUCCCAGUGUCUGACACUGAGGCUGAAGGCCAGCUUCCUUCUACUUCUCUUUGGUCUCUUUAUGCUCUCCAUUCUCUCUCCAAAGCAUCCUGCACAGUCUUGCAAACAUGUAUGGAUCAAUAUAAGGGCACUGAACAAAUGCCCCACUGGCAUUUGGUGUUGUCACAACAUUGGUGACAUCACAGGAGAUGCCAAGGCUCUCCAGGAUACAAUAGAAUGUUUCAGAAAGAGACUGCUGAUGCCAUAUUGUAUAGUCCUUGACUUCCUGCUAACUAGCUCACCUCAAACUGACUUUAAUACAAGGUUGGAAAAGAAGUAUAUCUUAUACUUGUCUGCUUUGACUGUGGUCAGCACCAUUGAACAGCCUGUGCAGAAUGAAAAGUAGCUGUGCCCAGGAGGAGGUCAUGUUUCUCACAGACACCAUGGAUUCAGUGAGCAUGGAGGCUGCUGGGCACCUGCAGUGUCUCCAUGCAGGAAUGGCAGAGUCUCAACACACUCAAUAGGAAGGAAAGGAAUCCACACAAGCUGAGGAGCAAACGCUCAGGCUUGCACCCUGUACUGCCAUUACGUGGUGAAGGGGGAAGCCCAUGCCCAUCCUUUUUCACUGGUAGAGACAAACUCAACAAUAUGGACUUGACUUUGUGAGACACCUAGGGAUUGAUUAAAAGGUCACAGCAUGCCAGAGGAUGCAUCCAAAGCC